AGUGAACGCUGGCGGUAGGCCUAACACAUGCAAGUCGAACGGCAGCACAGGAGAGCUUGCUCUCUGGGUGGCGAGUGGCGGACGGGUGAGGAAUACAUCGGAAUCUACUCUGUCGUGGGGGAUAACGUAGGGAAACCUACGCUAAUACCGCAUACGACCUACGGGUGAAAGCAGGGGAUCUUCGGACCUUGCGCGAUUGAAUGAGCCGAGGUCGGAUUAGCUAGUUGGCGGGGUAAAGGCCCACCAAGGCGACGAUCCGUAGCUGGUCUGAGAGGAUGAUCAGCCACACUGGAACUGAGACGCGGUCCAGACUCCUACGGGAGGCAGCAGUGGGGAAUAUUGGACAAUGGGCGCAAGCCUGAUCCAGCCAUACCGCGUGGGUGAAGGAGGCCUUCGGGUUGUAAAGCCCUUUUGUUGGGAAAGAAAUCCAGCUGGCUAAUACCCGGUUGGGAUGACGGUACCCAAAGAAUAAGCACCGGCUAACUUCGUGCCAGCCGCCGCGGUAA
rnacentral:rRNA from 1 species